GCUUGUCUCAAAGAUUAAGCCAUGCAUGUCUUAGUGUAAAUAACUCUUAUGAAACUGCGAAUGGCUCAUUAAAACAGUUAUAGUUUAUUUGGUAAUCGAAUUUACAUGGAUAACCGUGGUAAUUCUAGAGCUAAUACAUGCUGCUAAGCCUGACUUUUUGAAGGGCUGUAUUUAUUAGAUAACAGACCAAUAUUCCUCGUGUCUAUUGUGGUGACUCAUAGUAACUGAUCGGAUCGCAUGGGCGUGCCCGCGACAAACCAUUCAAGUUUCUGCCCCAUCAGCUUUCGAUGGUAGUGUAUUGGACUACCAUGGCUUUUACGGGUAACGGAGGAUUAGGGUUCGAUUCCGGAGAGGGAGCCUGAGAAACGGCUACCACAUCUAAGGAAGGCAGCAGG
rnacentral:rRNA from 1 species